GACAGAGGGUGCAAACGUUGUUCGGAAUUACUGGGCGUAAAGCGUGUGUAGGCGGUCUUCUAAGUCGGGUGUGAAAUCCCUGGGCUCAACCCAGGAAGUGCACUCGAAACUGGAGGGCUAGAGUAUCGGAGAGGUUGGUGGAAUUCUCGGUGUAGAGGUGAAAUUCGUAGAUAUCGAGAGGAACACCGGUGGCGAAGGCGGCCAACUGGACGAAUACUGACGCUGAGACACGAAAGCGUGGGGAGCAAACAGG
rnacentral:rRNA from 2 species